UUAGUGGAAGCGUCUGGAAAGGCGUGCGAUACAGGGUGACAGCCCCGUACACAAAAAUGCACAUAUUGUGAGCUCGAUGAGUAGGGCGGGACACGUGGUAUCCUGUCUGAAUAUGGGGGGACCAUCCUCCAAGGCUAAAUACUCCUGACUGACCGAUAGUGAACCAGUACCGUGAGGGAAAGGCGAAAAGAACCCCGGCGAGGGGAGUGAAAAAGAACCUGAAACCGUGUACGUACAAGCAGUGGGAGCCUCUUAAUGGGGUGACUGCGUACCUUUUGUAUAAUGGGUCAGCGACUUAUAUUCUGUAGCAAGGUUAACCGAAUAGGGGAGCCGAAGGGAAACCGAGUCUUAACUGGGCGUUAAGUUGCAGGGUAUAGACCCGAAACCCGGUGAUCUAGCCAUGGGCAGGUUGAAGGUUGGGUAACACUAACUGGAGGACCGAACCGACUAAUGUUGAAAAAUUAGCGGAUGACUUGUGGCUGGGGGUGAAAGGCCAAUCAAACCGGGAGAUAGCUGGUUCUCCCCGAAAGCUAUUUAGGUAGCGCCUCGUGAAUUCAUCUCCGGGGGUAGAGCACUGUUUCGGCAAGGGGGUCAUCCCGACUUACCAACCCGAUGCAAACUGCGAAUACCGGAGAAUGUUAUCACGGGAGACACACGGCGGGUGCUAACGUCCGUCGUGAAGAGGGAAACAACCCAGACCGCCAGCUAAGGUCCCAAAGUCAUGGUUAAGUGGGAAACGAUGUGGGAAGGCCCAGACAGCCAGGAUGUUGGCUUAGAAGCAGCCAUCAUUUAAAGAAAGCGUAAUAGCUCACUGGUCGAGUCGGCCUGCGCGGAAGAUGUAACGGGGCUAAACCAUGCACCGAAGCUGCGGCAGCGACACUAUGUGUUGUUGGGUAGGGGAGCGUUCUGUAAGCCUGUGAAGGUGGCCUGUGAGGGUUGCUGGAGGUAUCAGAAGUGCGAAUGCUGACAUAAGUAACGAUAAAGCGGGUGAAAAGCCCGCUCGCCGGAAGACCAAGGGUUCCUGUCCAACGUUAAUCGGGGCAGGGUGAGUCGACCCCUAAGGCGAGGCCGAAAGGCGUAGUCGAUGGGAAACAGGUUAAUAUUCCUGUACUUGGUGUUACUGCGAAGGGGGGACGGAGAAGGCUAUGUUGGCCGGGCGACGGUUGUCCCGGUUUAAGCGUGUAGGCUGGUUUUCCAGGCAAAUCCGGAAAACCAAGGCUGAGGCGUGAUGA
rnacentral:rRNA from 1 species